UCCACGCCCUAAACGAUGAACACUAGUCGUCGGGAUGCUAGUCAUCUCGGUGAUGCACUUAACAGAUUAAGUGUUCCGCCUGGGGAGUACGGUCGCAAGAUUAAAACUCAAAGGAAUAGACGGGGACCCGCACAAGUGGUGGAGCAUGUGGUUUAAUUCGAAGAUACGCGAAGAACCUUACCUAGCCUUGACAUUGAAGAAAUAGACCAGAGAUGGACUAGUGCCCUUCGGGG
rnacentral:rRNA from 1 species